GAUCUUAUGGCUCAGGAUGAACGCUAGCUACAGGCUUAACACAUGCAAGUCGAGGGGAAACGAUAUUGGAAGCUUGCUUCCGAUAGGCGUCGACCGGCGCACGGGUGAGUAACGCGUAUCCAACCUGCCCAUCACUUGGGAAUAACCUUGCGAAAGUAAGACUAAUGCCCAAUGACAUUUAUAGAAGGCAUCUGAAAUGAAUUAAAGAUUUAUCGGUGAUGGAUGGGGAUGCGU
rnacentral:rRNA from 1 species